ACCCGCUGAACUUAAGCAUAUCAAUAAGCGGAGGAAAAGAAACCAACAGGGAUUGCCCUAGUAACGGCGAGUGAAGCAGCAACAGCUCAAAUUUGAAAUCUGGCUCUUUUAGAGUCCGAGUUGUAAUUUGCAGAGGGCGCUUUGGCUUUGGCAGCGGUCCAAGUUCCUUGGAACAGGACGUCACAGAGGGUGAGAAUCCCGUACGUGGUCGCUGGCUAUUGCCGUGUAAAGCCCCUUCGACGAGUCGAGUUGUUUGGGAAUGCAGCUCUAAAUGGGAGGUACAUUUCUUCUAAAGCUAAAUAUUGGCCAGAGACCGAUAGCGCACAAGUAGAGUGAUCGAAAGAUGAAAAGCACUUUGGAAAGAGAGUCAAACAGCACGUGAAAUUGUUGAAAGGGAAGCGCUUGCAGCCAGACUUGCUUACAGUUGCUCAUCCGGGCUUUUGCCCGGUGCACUCUUCUGUAGGCAGGCCAGCAUCAGUUUGGGCGGUAGGAUAAAGGUCUCUGUCACGUACCUCUCUUCGGGGAGGCCUUAUAGGGGAGACGACAUACUACCAGCCUGGACUGAGGUCCGCGCAUCUGCUAGGAUGCUGGCGUAAUGGCUGU
rnacentral:rRNA from 1 species